CUGCUUGUUUCCCCCUCCCCAAUUUUUCUAAACUCCCGCCCUUCAGCUCAAACCUAAUUGAGCUUUCCCUCCUGCCUCUCACCACAGAAAACUCAUCCUUUCAUUCUCAAACCUAAAUCUAAUUUUCUUGUGGAUCCCCUCCUCUCUCAGCUCUCUCCCCCCUUUUAAAUAAUUUAAAAGGCAGAAGAAGAAGUGUUGUGAAGCUGGAGAAGUGUGGUGCUGAAGAGAGUUUUAGGGGUAGAAGACAGAGUGUUCUAACCCUAGAACUAGGAAUGUGAAGGCGGGGUUGAUUAGCUGCUCUAGUGAAGAAAAGGGUUGUUUUGGUGAUGUGGGUAAGAUUCUUUUGGGGAAAACGACCAGAAAUUCCAAAGCAGAGAUGGGGACCUUGGUAACACAAAUUUGUCUGGUGUUUUGGUACUUGAUCUCGGAAAACUCCAGUAUAUCCAAUAUCUUAAGCUUUACAAAAAUAACAUUCAUGGGACUAUCCUAAACGAGCUGGGAAAUUUGAAUAAUCUAAUAAGCUUGGACUUGUACAACAACAAUCUCACAGGGAUCAUUCCUCCUACUCUGGGAAAGUUGCAGUCUCUUAUUUUCUUGCGUCUGAGCAAUAAUCGUCUGGUUGGGAGAAUUCCCAUGGAACUUGUUAAUGUUUCCACCCUAAAAGUCGUGGCUGAUGCAUUCAAAUGGAAAGGCAGGUAAAUGAAUUAAAGAAGAGGGCAGAAAAUACAGAAGCCAAGAUUGAUCUUCUUACCAACCAAGUGGUUAUUAUUAAAGAAAGGUCCAAUAUGCCUCUAGAUGUUACCAUUUAUUGUAUGUAUUUUAGGUAUUUAUAUAUUUGGGAUUUGCCACCCUCACGGGAAAUAUUUGUGGAUAUUAGAUGGUAUAUGUGAUUUGGUUGUAACCCUGGUUAUUAGUACGUAAUGAAAAGUUUUGUU